UACGUAGGUGACAAGCGUUGUCCGGAUUUACUGGGCGUAAAGAGCGCGCAGGCGGUCGAUCAAGUCGAGUGUGAAAGCCCCCGGCUCAACUGGGGAGGGUCAUUCGAUACUGAUCGACUCGAAGGCAGGAGAGGGUAGUGGAAUUCCCGGUGUAGUGGUGAAAUGCGUAGAUAUCGGGAAGAACACCAGUGGCGAAAGCGGCUCUCUGGGGACCAUCUGACGCUGAGGCGCGAAAGCGUGGGGAGCGAACCGG
rnacentral:rRNA from 1 species